rnacentral:tRNA from 1 species
GGAGAGAUGGCCGAGUGGUCGAAGGUGCACGACUGGAAAUCGUGUGUACCGCAAGGUACCGAGGGUUCGAAUCCCUCUCUCUCCGCCA